rnacentral:rRNA from 1 species
UACAUGUGGGGCAAGCGUUGUUCGGAAUCACUGGGCAUAAAGGGUGCGUAGGCGGCUUAUUAAGUCAGGGGUGAAAUCCGGUGGCCCAACCAUCGAACUGCCUUUGAUACUGAUGAGCUUGAGUGCGUGAGGGGUAACCGGAACGAGUAGUGUAGCGGUGAAAUGCGUAGAUAUUACUCGGAAGGCCAACGGCGAAGGCAGGUUACUGGUACGCAACUGACGCUGAGGCACGAAAGCGUGGGGAGCAAACAGG